AGGUAUACACCAAGCUACGUGGGUAACAACGGUAGAAGAAGAGUCCCCAUGUUCAGUCUGGCUGUAAGCAUCCCAUGCAACAGUGACGGGACAGCGUGCGACACCAGUGGAGUCACUGACGACCCUGUCCGAGUGAAGAAUACGAUUCUACAAUGUGAAGUGUACGCUGGUACAAGGGUGGUGGCAGCCACAGUUCUGAGGUGGCGCAAUGUUCUGGAUCAGUGUCCUAAUGAACGUGUGCAAUGGGAUGAUGUUCUGAGACAGUGUGGUCAAACGUCUAUGGCAUGGGCUGAUGUUAAGAGACAGUGCCCUCGUGCAGUUAGAGAAGGUAGAGCUGAUCAUGCAGAGUACCGCACUCUGCAGCGCUUUGACACCUUAACAAGAAAUGUUAACACAAAUGAUUUGUUGCUUUUCUACGUUCUCUCUUCCCCGUGUGAUAAAAGAUGUACAGACGAGUCAAAUCCAUGGAACAUUCUCGACCACAUAAAACAGAUUCUGAGGUGGAAGCACUAUGCUGUUGUGUUUUCCAAUGUAUUCAAGCCCCGAAAUGGUCCUGUCAUACCUGAGAGUGACCGACGUGGAGCCCUUGAGCGGCUUGGGAGACACGAGGACUCAUUUGGUCGAUCAAUUGGUCUGAACAAUAUAUUCCGUUGCACCUGUGAAGGUGCAAUGCAGUGCACAAGCUGCUCUAGUAAUGGUGAAGUCACCCCCUAUUGUUAUUCAUACGAUUGACAGCCUGGUCCUCAACAUGGCAAAAGGUGUUCUUGAGAUAUCGCAUCACGAUUAACUUGACUUCUGAACACCAAAAUCUAAUCAGAAGCAACAGCGCAGCUAACAACUUUACCACACAUUCAGUGCCAACUUUCCACACCUGAGAGUUUCUGAUACACUGUGAUAAAUAAUUAGGUCUCUGUUUAUGUGAAGACAUGAUUUUGAUUUAAAUGUAUUCACUCGGAAAAAGAAAUUUGAUGAAAAUUAACGUCAAUAUUUACAGCACUCAUGUCACUGUAUGCUGUGCCUCUGUAAAGCAUUCAUUUUCUGUCCUUUCUGAUUAAAGCUUUGCUCAGAAUCCA